rnacentral:rRNA from 1 species
CCUACGGGGGGCAGCAGUGGGGGAUAUUGCACAAUGGGGGAAACCCUGAUGCAGCGACGCCGCGUGUGGGAAGACGGUCCUCUGGAUUGUAAACCACUGUCCCCAGGGACGAAGAUGACGGUACCUGGGGAGGAAGCUCCGGCUAACUACGUGCCAGCAGCCGCGGUAAUACGUAGGGAGCGAGCGUUGUCCGGAAUUACUGGGUGUAAAGGGAGCGUAGACGGCAGGGCAAGUCUGGAGUGAAAGGCGGGGGCUCAACCCCCGGACUGCUGUGGAAACUGCCAGGCUGGAGUGUGUGAGAGGAUAGUGGAAUGCCAGGUGUAGGAGUGAAAGCCGUAGAUAUCUGGAGGAACAUCAGUGGCGAAGGCGACUAUCUGGCACAUACUGACGCUGAGGAGCGAAAGCGUGGGUAGCAAACAGGAUUAGAUACCCGAGUAGUC